AGUCUCGCUGCAGUACGUCACUGAUAAAGCCACUCAACGUUGGGGAUGACUUCUUUCGGCUCGUGCUACGGAGUUGCUUCUGCCCAACCCGACUUUAGGACUCGUUCACUCACCGGUACAGGAGUAAGGCGUUUACCUUAGGGCCACCGGCAAUAACUGCCAGAAGAAGUUGUGGGAUUCCCUGGAACUGGAGCUACCAACAGUUUGUGUGCACCAUGUGGGUGCUGGGAAUCGAACCUGGGUCCUCUAUAAGACUGGCCAGUGCUCUUAACUACUGAGGUGCAUUUCUUUCGGAAUUGAUUCACAUAACUAUUAUGCUAUACUGUUUGAAGUAUUUAUUAGAAAAACAUCAGAAAGAGAUUUGGACCACUUUCAUUUACAUGAAGAAAUAUCUUAGGGUUUCUUUUCAGGUAUCUUUGAGUAUCUUCUGACACUAGAAGAUCCUGUAAACUCUACAGACUUCAACAGAAUUGAAGAACCUGGACAGAGCAGAGUUACCAACAAGAGAGCCCAGGGAUAGCAUUAACAUGGUGGUUACUCAAGACCUAACUCAGCCAGGGAGACAUAGCAAGGCCUAUGAGGUGAGGGGAAAAGAAGGGUGACCCAAAGGGCAGGAAUGUUUUAUCCUGAACUUCUGAGCCUUAUAGAAAAACAUAAUUUGUUGGGCAUGUUUUCCGACCCUCAUACAGUUUUUACAGCCAUUUGAAGAUAUAGUUCUAGCUCUAGUAGGCUCUACAGGAAGGUAUAUCAAACUUUUUAACAGAACACUUUAUUAUUUUAAAUAUAUGAGUAUUUCACCUGCAUGUACCAUAGGCGCACAGUGCCCACAGAGACAAGAAGAGGGUGGCAGAUCUCCUGAGACUGGAGUUAUUGCUUGUGAACUGCUAUGUGGAUGCUGGAAAUCAAACCUAGGUCCUUUGGAAAGCAGGCAGAUGCUCUUAAUCAUGGAAGCAUCUCUUCAGCUCCUACCCUAGUUCUUUAAUUUUGUUUUAAAUUUUUGAGGUAGGGUUUUGCUAAGUUACUUGGGCUGGCCUUGGACUAGUAACCAUUCUGUGUCAGCCUCCUGGGAUUAGAGGUACGUGCUAGCAUGUCUAGCAUCUUUUUAUUUCUUUGGUUUUCCUUCUAAUUAAUUAAAAAUACAUUAUCUUCU
ensembl:processed_transcript